rnacentral:rRNA from 1 species
GACGAACGCUGGCGGCGUGCCUAAUACAUGCAAGUCGAGCGGACCAAACAGGAGCUUGCUCUUGUUUGGUUAGCGGCGGACGGGCGAGUAACACGUGGGUAACCUGCCCGUAAGACCGGGAUAACUCCGGGAAACCGGAGCUAAUACCGGAUAACACCGAAGACCGCAUGGUCUUUGGUUGAAAGGCGGCUUCGGCUGCCACUUACGGAUGGGCCCGCGGCGCAUUAGCUAGUUGGUGAGGUAACGGCUCACCAAGGCGACGAUGCGUAGCCGGCCUGAGAGGGUGACCGGCCACACUGGGACUGAGACACGGCCCAGACUCCUACGGGAGGCAGCAGUAGGGAAUCUUCCGCAAUGGACGAAAGUCUGACGGAGCGACGCCGCGUGAGCGAAGAAGGUCUUCGGAUCGUAAAGCUCUGUUGUUAGGGAAGAAGAAGCGCCGUUCGAACAGGGCGGCGCGGUGACGGUACCUAACGAGAAAGCCCCGGCUAACUACGUG